AGACCUGGAGAAUCCCUCCGUCUGUCCUGCCAGGGAUCAGGGUUCAACUUUGGAGACUAUGGCAUGCAUUGGAUAAGACAGGCUCCUGGAAAGGGGCUGGAAUGGAUUGCAGUUAUAUGGUAUGAUGCGAGUGAGCAAUACUAUGCAGACUCAGUGAAAGGGCGCUUCACCAUCUCCAGGAACAACCCUUCAAGCAUGCUCUAUCUGCAAAUGAAUGACCUGAAAACAGAAGACACUGCCACAUAUUAUUGUGCAAGCGACACAGUGAGAGGAAGUAAAACUGAAGCCAGACAAAAACCAGCCUUUGCUCCAAAACAAUCUCCAGUUGACUGA